rnacentral:rRNA from 1 species
ACUCAAAUGAAUUGACGGGGGGCCGCACAAGCGGUGGAGCGUGUGGUUUAAUUCGACGAUAAGCGAAGAACCUUACCAGGGCUUGACAUCCCGAUCGUAGAUUUGGGAAACCAGAUCGUCGGCUCGGCCGGAUCGGUGACAGGUGCUGCAUGGUCGUCGUCAGCUCGUGUCGUGAGAUGUUGGGUUAAGUCCCGCAACGAGCGCAACCCUCGUCGUGUGUUGUAUUUUUCACACGAGACUGCCUCGGUUAACGAGGAGGAAGGCGGGGAUGACGUCAGAUCAGCAUGGCCCUUAUGCCCUGGGCGACACACGCGCUACAAUGGCCGGCACAAUGGGACGCGAAACCGCAAGGCGGAGCCAAUCCCAUCAAAGCCGGUCCCAGUUCGGAUUGGAGGCUGCAACUCGCCUCCAUGAAGUCGGAAUCGCUAGUAAUCGCAGGUCAGCCAUACUGCGGUGAAUACGUUCUCGGCCCUUGUACACACCGCCCGU